ACUAAAAGAAAGGUUAAUAGAAAGAUAUCAAUUAAUUGGAGAAGUUUCAAAAAGAGAUUGUACAGGCAGUCACUUUUUAUGGAAAAGAGACGUAUAUGCAGCAAUCUCAUCCUUAAAGAUUAUGCAUACAUAACAAUAUGGUGGAGCAGCAACGUGUCGUGCUUGUUGUCGAGUUGUUGUAGUCUCUUGUUGCUUGGAUGCUCGGGGAAUAGCGGACUGGUUCUACCUUGGUUAAGGUUGUAGCGCUAGACGGGCUGUGAGGUUGGAUUGUCAAAAAAGCCAGCAAGAUAGUUAUGUGAUGAUUGGGAUGGAAUACAUAACGUGUACGACACCUAUUGUGCAAUCACUGAUCAGUUGGGUAUUCACACCAAGUCCUAUUAUGGCCGGAUACGUUUCACAUCGGUCCUAUUAUGGCCAGGUCCGCAGAUAGGAGGAACUUCCCAGUAGGAUUCACAAGGCUCAGCGGCAGUCAGCAAGUUCCACUUGAUUCGGUCUUGCUUGUCUUUGGGUAUAUCACUA